AUACGGAGGGUGCGAGCGUUACUCGGAAUCACUGGGCGUAAAGCGCGCGCAGGCGGCUUGAUAAGUUGGAUGUGAAAGCCUACGGCUCAACCGUAGAACUGCAUCCAAAACUAUUUGGCUAGAGUGUGGGAGAGGAAGAUGGAAUUAGUUGUGUAGGGGUAAAAUCCGUAGAGAUAACUAGGAAUACCAAAAGCGAAGGCAAUCUUCUGGAACAUUACUGACGCUGAGGCGCGAAAGCGUGGGGAGCAAACAGGAUUAGAAACCCCUGUAGUCC
rnacentral:rRNA from 1 species